AGCUCCAAAAGCGUAUAUUAAAGUUGUUGCAGUUAAAAAGCUCGUAGUUGGAUUUCUGGCACGGUGCGCCUGGUCCGCCGCCCUCGAGGUGUGUGAGUACCGGUCGCGCGCCUGCCAUCCUGGGUUCGGAGGCGCGGCUUCCCUUCACUGGGCGGCCGCGUGCUAACUCUGCCCUCGUUUACUUUGAAAAAAUUAGAGUGUUUCUAGCAGGCGUUUUCGCCGUGAAUACAUUAGCAUGGAAUAAUAAGAUAGGACUUGGGUUCUAUUUUGUUGGUUUCUAGGACCGAAGUAAUGAUUGACAGGGACAGUUGGGGGUGCUGGUAUUCACGGGCCAGAGGUGAAAUUCUUGGAUUCCGUGAAGACCAACUUAUGCGAAAGCAUUCACCAAGGAUGUCUUCU
rnacentral:rRNA from 1 species